AACGAACGCUGGCGGCUGGCUUAACACAUGCAAGUCGAGCGCAUCCUUCGGGGUGAGCGGCGGACGGGUGAGUAACGCGUGGGAACGUGCCCUCUUCUACGGAAUAGCCUCGGGAAACUGAGAGUAAUGCCGUAUACGCCCGCAAGGGGAAAGAUUUAUCGGAGGAGGAUCGGCCCGCGUUGGAUUAGGUAGUUGGUGGGGUAACGGCCUACCAAGCCGACGAUCCAUAGCUGGUUUGAGAGGAUGAUCAGCCACACUGGGACUGAGGCACGGCCCAGACUCCUACGGGAGGCAGCAGUGGGGAAUCUUGGACAAUGGGGGCAACCCUGAUCCAGCCAUGCCGCGUGAUCGAUGAAGGCCUUAGGGUUGUAAAGAUCUUUCAGCUGGGAAGAUAAUGACGGUACCAGCAGAAGAAGCCCCGGCUAACUCCGUG
rnacentral:rRNA from 1 species